GUUCCGGUCGGACGACCAUAAUAUAUUAUGUACGCGUGUGAGCUGUGCUCAUGCGUUUGUUUUCACAUCGGUUUUCUACUACACUGAUAUAGGACGUGCAUAAAAGACCCGAGUGCGGUGUACUUACGGACAUAUGCGCCAUUACCCGCGGCCGAGCGACAGCCAAUAUAUAAUGAAGUUCGUAUAUAUACGCGUUGCGCAUUAUAGAAUUUCGCAAUCGAAGUGCUCACAUAAUGACGGAUUAAAAAAAAAUAGUGGUUCUCAAAUCUAAAGAUAUUAUAUUAGGGUUAAAAAUAGAGUAAAGGGAAACAAAAUCGGUACCUCAGGAUAUAGACCGCCAACGAACAACUAAUAGCAAAGGAUGAUUGACGACGUGCGCAAAGUUCGUAAUAGGCACCGCUGGGUGAGUCGGCGUUCCUACAAUGCGUUGCAAUGGCAGUUUUUGUUGUCAAAGUGAAUGAUAUUUUUCUACAAACUGUGUUUUUUUUCUUAUACUACCUAUUUAUUAUUUUUAUCACUGUUGUAUACUAUAAUAAUAUAAUAUGCAUGUUAUUUAAAGACGCAGGGAGAUCAUAGAAAUAUAUAUAUAUAUAUGAUUAUAUGUAUUACUUUUAAAAAGUACAUUUAUAUUCAUGGAGUGUUUCUCAGCCGUCGACUAGUAAAAUUACAAUACGCGGUGAAAAAUAAACGAUGGUGUUGAAGAAUAAAAAAUAAAUAAUAUUUAUGGUAUUUUCUACGGGCUAGGUUAUUAUAUAUUUAUAUAACCCAAAACAACAGAUUUAUUUAAUCCCUUUACUAUUGUUUUUUGUUUUGUUUGGAAUAUAAAAAUAUUAUAAUAAUAAAAAUAUUUUGUUUACAGUUAUGUAUUAUUAAACAACGUGUUGAAAUAACCA